UACGAAGGGGGCUAGCGUUGCUCGGAAUCACUGGGCGUAAAGGGUGCGUAGGCGGGUCUUUAAGUCAGGGGUGAAAUCCUGGAGCUCAAUUCCAGAACUGCCUUUGAUACUGAAGAUCUUGAGUUCGGGAGAGGUGAGUGGAACUGCGAGUGUAGAGGUGAAAUUCGUAGAUAUUCGGAAGACACCAGUGGCGAAGGCGGCAUACUGGCCCAUUACUGACGCUGAGGCUCGAAAGCGUGGGGAGCAAACAGG
rnacentral:rRNA from 1 species